UUUUGUUUUGUUUUGACCCUCCAGGGACACCAACUGAAACACAGCUGUGACUUGAUAAACAAGUGGAAUAUUCUUUGGUACAGAGACAGGAAAUAAUUCUCUCCGGGGCCAUGUACCUCAGUAGCUGAGGGGACAGCAGAGCGAAUUGCUGAAUCAGAGCUGCAAGUGAAGGACAACUGGCUGGACAAUAGGGUGGCUGUGCUGCUGCUGUCAGUGGGUGUGGGCUGAGAGUGGGAAAGAGGGGAAGUCGAAGAAAGGAGGGGAGCUGACAUCUGAGGCCAACAGGAGGAGCCCAGAAAAGACCUGGGUGGAAGCGGCUGUGGGCGAGGUGCGGCUGAGCGGUGGCUGCUGUCAAUUCUGACCCAUUUCCUGGAGCCCUGGGAACUGCGCUCUCAGCAAUAGUGACACUGCCCUUCAGGCAGCCAAGCCACACAGAGUGAUAGCUGUCCCUGCUGUUUUCCUAAAUGUCACCAGUGAAAGAAGCCUUUCCAUCUCCCCAGAGUGCUGCACUUGUGGUUCCAUACAGAAUCGCAUCCACAAGUGCAAAUUUCUGGAAGAGAGAAGGAAGAAAAGAACAAAUACAGGCCAUGCCUGGUUUACGUGGCUGGCAUAAGUUAAAAUUCGUAAACUCCACUGCAAAAGCAAUAAAGUGUCUACGUAUUUUGGAAGUACUUCCUAUUUCGAAUCCCUUC
rnacentral:lncRNA from 1 species